rnacentral:lncRNA from 1 species
GGACCUAAUGCCACCACUUACCAUCAACUAAUCAUGUCAGUGCGGAGCUAUUCAUAGCCCUCCGCAUUGUUACAAAAUUUGGGAGGCGUGGGGCGAUGCGGUACAGAGCUCAAUUUGGCUUCUGCAUGCCUCCAGAGGUUCCGCUAUUGCAUCACACCCUCCAUACAGAGCAUUCGACCACGUUUUCAGAUCAAGCAUAAAUUGGCUUCAAGAAGAAGGGAGCAGCUGCAGACCAGAAGCCUACAGCCAAUGCAGCACUGGUCCACACCUGUUCUGUCUGUCGGACAAAUGAUGACCAUGAUUUGAAUGCUGCAACUGAGAAUGUAUGACGUUGAGGGAUACAUGCUGAGACCCCGAGUAUGACUGGACUUCGGCCAGAUAUUUGUGACAACGACAUAAAAGGGGUCUAAUUCCUAAAAUGUAAAAGCAGAAGAAUCUGUAUGCUCUCGGAUACAAUUAACAGUUCAUAUGGUGCUCUUCGAUGUCCCAGGACCUGAGCCCUAGGACCAUGCCUCAGGACUACCUGGCCUGAUGACUCCUUGCUGUCCCCAGUCCACCUGGUCAUGCUGCUGCUCCAGUUUCAACUGUUCUGCCUGCGGCUAUGGAACUCUGACAAGUUCACCGGAUGUACUACCUGUCCCAGACCUGCUGUUUUCAACUCUCUAAAGACAGCAGGAGCGGUAGAGAUACUCUGAAUGAUCGGCUAUGAAAAGCCAACUGACAUUUACUCCUGAGGUGCUGACCUGUUGCACCCUCUACAACCACUGUGAUUAUUAUUAUUUGACCCCGCUGGUCAUCUAUGAACAUUUGAACAUCUUGGCCAUGUUCUGUUAUAAUCUCCACCUGGCACAGCCAGAAAAGGACUGGCCACCCCUCAUAGCCUGGUUCCUCUCUAGGUUUCUUCCAAGGUUCUGGCCUUUCUAUGGAGUUUUUCCUAGCCACUGUGCUUCUACACCUGCAUUUCUUGCUGUUUGGGGUUUUAGGCUGGGUUUCUGUUCAACACUUUGUGACAUCAGCUGAUGUAAGAAGGGCUUUAUAAAUAAUUUGAUUGAUUGAUUAAUUAAUUAAUUGUUUCAGUUCAGGUGUUUGAUGUGGU